rnacentral:rRNA from 1 species
GACGAACGCUGGCGGCGUGCUUAACACAUGCAAGUCGAACGAAGUGGCGAACGGGUGAGUAACGCGUAAUCAACCUGCCCUUCAGAGGGGGACAACAGUUGGAAACGACUGCUAAUACCGCAUACUGCAGUCGGGGAUUGCGUCUGAUUAGCUAGUUGGAGGGGUAACGGCCCACAAAGGCGAUGAUCAGUAGCCGGGCUGAGAGGAUGAACGGCCAAAGUGGGACUGAGACACGGCCCAGACUCCUACGGGAGGCAGCAGUGGGGAAUCUUCCGCAAUGGACGAAAGUCUGACGGAGCAACGCCGCGGGAGUGAUGACGGCCUUCGGGUUGUAAAGCUCUGUUAAUCGGGACGCGGUACCGGAAUAGAAAGCCACGGCUAACUACGUGCCAGCCGCAGCGGUAAUAC